rnacentral:rRNA from 1 species
AUUCCUACGGGAGGCAGCAGUAAGGAAUAUUGGUCAAUGGACGCAAGUCUGAACCAGCCAUGCCGCGUGAAGGAUGAAGGCCCUCUGGGUUGUAAACUGCUUUUAUCUGGGACGAAAAAAGGGCUUUCUAGCUCGACUGACGGUACCAGAGGAAUAAGCACCGGCUAACUCCGUGCCAGCAGCCGCGGUAAUACGGAGGGUGCAAGCGUUAUCCGGAUUUACUGGGUUUAGAGGGUGCGUAGGUGGGUAGGUAAGUCAGUGGUGAAAUCUUCAAGCUUAACUUGGAAACUGCCAUUGAUACUAUUUAUCUUGAAUACUUUGGAGGUAGCGGAAUAUGUCAUGUAGCGGUGAAAUGCUAGAUAUGACAUAGAACACCAAUUGCGAAGGCAGCUUACUACACAGUUAUUGACACUGAGGCACGACAGCGUGGGGAUCAAACAGGAUUAGAUACCCUGGUAGUCCACGCCCUAAACGAUGGAUACUCGACAUUAGCGAUACACAGUUAGUGUCUGAGCGAAAGCAUUAAGUAUCCCACCUGGGAAGUACGACCGCAAGGUUGAAACUCAAAUGAAUUGACGGGGGUCCGCACAAGCAGCGGAGCAUGUGGUUUAAUUCGAAGCAACGCGAAGAACCUUACCUGGGCUUGACAUGUGCCUGACCGCCGUGGAAACACGGCUUCCCUUCGGGGCAGGUUCACAGGUGGUGCAUGGCUGUCGUCAGCUCGUGUCGUGAGAUGUUGGGUUAAGUCCCGCAACGAGCGCAACCCUCGUCGUAUGUUGCCAGCAUUUAGUUGGGGACUCAUACGAGACUGCCGGUGACAAACCGGAGGAAGGCGGGGAUGACGUCAAGUCAUCAUGCCCCUUAUGUCCAGGGCUACACACGUGCUACAUUGGCGCGUACAGAGGGCAGCGAUACCGCGAGGUGGAGCGAAUCCCACAAAGCGCGUCUCGGUUCGGAUUGUAGGCUGAAACUCGCCUACAUGAAGGUGGAGUUGCUAGUAAUCGUGGAUCAGCACGCCACGGUGAAUACGUUCCCGGGCCUUGUACACACCGCC